rnacentral:rRNA from 1 species
GACGAACGCUGGCGGCGUGCUUAACACAUGCAAGUCGAGCGGUAAGGCCCUUCGGGGUACACGAGCGGCGAACGGGUGAGUAACACGUGAGCAAUCUGCCCUUCUCUUUGGAAUAACCAUUGGAAACGAUGGCUAAUGCCGAAUAUGAACCCCCUUCGCAUGUUGGGGGUUGGAAAGCUCCGGCGGAGAUGGAUGAGCUCGCGGCCUAUCAGCUUGUUGGUGAGGUAAUGGCUCACCAAGGCAUUGACGGGUAGCCGGCCUGAGAGGGUGACCGGCCACACUGGGACUGAGACACGGCCCAGACUCCUACGGGAGGCAGCAGUGGGGAAUAUUGGACAAUGGGCGAAAGCCUGAUCCAGCAACGCCGCGUGAGGGAUGACGGCCUUCGGGUUGUAAACCUCUUUCAGCAGGGACGAAGCGAGAGUGACGGUACCUGCAGAAGAAGGACCGGCCAACUACGUGCCAGCAGCCGCGGUAAUACGUAGGGUCCGAGCGUUGUCCGGAAUUAUUGGGCGUAAAGGGCUCGUAGGCGGUUUGUCGCGUCGGGAGUGAAAACUCAGGGCUCAACCCUGAGCGUGCUUCCGAUACGGGCAGACUAGAGGUAUUCAGGGGAGAACGGAAUUCCUGGUGUAGCGGUGGAAUGCGCAGAUAUCAGGAGGAACACCGGUGGCGAAGGCGGUUCUCUGGGAAUUACCUGACGCUGAGGAGCGAAAGCAUGGGGAGCGAACAGGAUUAGAUACCCUGGUAGUCCAUGCCGUAAACGUUGGGCGCUAGGUGUGGGGACCUUCCACGGUUUCCGUGCCGCAGCUAACGCAUUAAGCGCCCCGCCUGGGGAGUACGGCCGCAAGGCUAAAACUCAAAGGAAUUGACGGGGGCCCGCACAAGCGGCGGAGCAUGCUGAUUAAUUCGAUGCAACGCGAAGAACCUUACCUGGGUUUGACAUAUGCCGGAAAGCUGCAGAGAUGUGGCCUCCUUUUGGUCGGUAUACAGGUGGUGCAUGGCUGUCGUCAGCUCGUGUCGUGAGAUGUUGGGUUAAGUCCCGCAACGAGCGCAACCCUCGUUCUAUGUUGCCAGCACGUAAUGGUGGGGACUCAUAGGAGACUGCCGGGGUCAACUCGGAGGAAGGUGGGGGUGACGUCAAGUCUUCAUGCCCCUUAUGUCCAGGGCUUCAAGCAUGCUACAAUGGCCGGUACAAAGGGCUGCGAAACUGUAAGGUGGAGCGAAUCCCAAAAAGCCGGUCUCAGUUCGGAUUGGGGUCUGCAACUCGACCCCAUGAAGUCGGAGUCGCUAGUAAUCGCAGAUCAGCAACGCUGCGGUGAAUACGUUCCCGGGCCU